UACGUAGGGGGCGAGCGUUGUCCGGAGUUACUGGGCGUAAAGCGCACGCAGGCGGUCUGCUAAGUUUGGAGUGACAGUUGGUGGCUUAACUGCCAAAGUGCUUCGAAAACUGACAGACUUGAGGGCUUCAGAGGGACACGGAAUUCCGGGUGGAGUGGUGAAAUUCGUAGAUAUCGGGAGGAACACCGGUGGCGAAGGCGGCGACCUGGGUAGAUACUGACGCUGAGGUGCGAAAGCGUGGGGAGCAAACAGG
rnacentral:rRNA from 1 species